ensembl:lncRNA novel transcript
AUAGCUGAAAUUGGAGUUGUCCUAGAAAAUCCAGGACAUACAGAUUUCUAUGGCAUAAGGCACAAAAACCGCCUAUGAAGCGAUGCUGUGGUGUCUUCAUUUUCUUAUUUUUAAGAACUUAAAGCAACUGGUUCUUCUAUCCAUUGUCCUUAUACCUGUAUGUGUGGGCGGAGGCCCAAGAAUCUAUCACUUCAUGGAAUUCACUGAGUGUGCAGGAGUAGGAAUGUCAGAGAGUGGAAGAAGAGAUCAAAUGAAGAGAGGGCAUGGCAUAGAUUUGAUCUUCCAACAGAGAACAGAAGAAAGGUUUCCUAGUAUGGCAGUCCAUUCUGGCAUGGAACUGAGUACCAUGGAAAGAUUCAAACUGAGCUUUGGAAAUGAAGAAUUGAGAGAACUUGGAAAGGUUUGGGAAGGACAUGGCCAAAAUGAGCAACAGCUUGGGGGAGAAAAAAGACACCUUUUCCUGCUGGAGGAAAAAUGGAAGAAAUUAUUCACUGGAUGGCACGUUCCAACGAGGCCAGGGGCUGCAUCUUCCAUCCUCCCUCAGUGGCCUCCUCCUCUUUCUUUCUGCUCCCCAGCUGGGAACACAGUGUAUUCUUCUCAGUCUGUUGCUCAUUUUAGUCUGAAAAGGAAAAAGCCAAGGGAGUGGAACCAAUGACAACCUCCAAGAAUCCUGCAUGAGGAAUCAGAGGAAAGUGGAGAUGAAAAGAGGUUUCACGCUCCACAAUAUCAGAACAAGAAGAAAAAUUCUAGAAUGCACUUGAAAAAUAACUGUCUUUGUCUGAAACAGGUGUGAGACACUUGAACAUGCUACCAAAAAUGCGAAGCCUCUUUCUUUGGAGACCUCAAAAAGAAGGCUCAGGCUCCAACAUUUUGAAAGGGUAGAUUGCACCCCUAUAGUCCCGGGGCGACAUCUCAAUGUAACUGAAAAGCCAGUGACGCCUGUGACUUUGCUGAUGUCAAAAGGCUAAUUCCAACAUGACUUCACGAGCUAAAACGGCUUCUCCAUCCAUGGCAAGUUUUGCGAGCACCCCGAGGAUUCCAGCGACGUGGUUAAGCCGCCGGGAAGACCACGAAGAGCUUUUCCAAUAUCAUCCGAGGCUUUGUGGGAGAGCGAAUGUCGAGCCCGUAAUAGAUGCUUUCUGAUCCUCCUCACACUGCAUCUGGCUCUCCUAAGUAUUGGUCCUAUUACGUUUUUAAAAAUAGCUCAGAAGUAAUUUGAGUGCUGAACUGGCUACAGGAUAAAAAAACCCCACCUGAAUACAUUCUAACUUCUUCCUAUCAGCCAGAGACCAAGAACCACAGUCGCAGUUUCCUCGGAGCUAAUUUUCAGCAUUAGGGUUUAUCAGAACCUAAAUUCUGUUCUAAUAAACGAUGGAACAGCA